rnacentral:rRNA from 1 species
UGAGGAAUAUUGGACAAUGGGCGCAAGCCUGAUCCAGCAAUGCCGCGUGCAGGAUGAAGGCCUUCGGGUUGUAAACUGCUUUUGUACGGAGCGAAAAGGUCUGCCCUAAUACGGUGGGCUCAUGACGGUACCGUAAGAAUAAGCACCGGCUAACUACGUGCCAGCAGCCGCGGUAAUACGUAGGGUGCGAGCGUUAAUCGGAAUUACUGGGCGUAAAGCGUGCGCAGGCGGUUAUAUAAGACAGAUGUGAAAUCCCCGGGCUCAACCUGGGAACCGCCUUUGUGACUGCAUAGCUAGAGUACGGUAGAGGGGGAUGGAAUUCCGCGUGUAGCAGUGAAAUGCGUAGAUAUGCGGAGGAACACCGAUGGCGAAGGCAAUCCCCUGGACCUGUACUGACGCUCAUGCACGAAAGCGUGGGGAGCAAACA